rnacentral:lncRNA from 1 species
ACUAAAUAGUCAAAAAAUGUAAUCGCAUUCUUGAAAGACAGAAUCUGUCAAUCUAAAAUUUUGUGAAAAGAUAAGCUGUUUUUCAGGAAUGAGGACAAACUAAAGGCAUUAUUAGAGGGAAAAAACUGAGACUGUUUAACAACCAUAAAUCCUCAAGAGAUUUUAAAGGCCUCUUGCUGCAUGAGAUGGAACGUGGCCUGGGUUAUAACACGGUGCAUGUCACAUAAAGAGAGCCUCAUGCUUUGAUAUGAAACCAAGCUACUUUAACAUAGACUACUCUGGGAUCCAGGUACAUAAUUUCAGAUACCCAAUUAUGCAG